CCAUGCGGCCAUAUCUCGUCAGAUCUCAGAGACUAAGCAAGGCUGGGCCUGCUUAGUAUUUGGAUGGGAGACCCUGGGAAUAUCAGGUGCCACAAUGG
rnacentral:rRNA from 1 species